CAACCCUCAAGCUCCGCUUGGUAUUGGGCGUCACCUAGCACGGUGCACCUUAAACUCAGUGGCGGUGCCAUCUGGCUUCAAGCGUAGUAAUUCUUCUCGCUAUGGAGGUCCAGGUGCGCACUUGCCAGCAACCCCUAAUAUCUCAAA
rnacentral:misc_RNA from 1 species